AUUCGAUCCUCAAGCUGUCAGUAAGCUGAUAACUCCGCCCCCUCUAUAUUCAUUGAAUCAACUGAAGUUCCACAGCAGCCGCACAGUAGACAACAGCUGAGCUGAACAAAGUUUUGCGAAGGGUAAAUAAAUAUCUUGUUGUUUGAAUAAGUACUACUUAACACUAUGUCUAUAAAGGCUUAUAUUUUAUUUAUUUGAUGUCUGACUGACUCACUGACUGAGACAUGUGGGACGUCGCCUGAGAGAGAGGGCUAGCAUUUGCCAUCUAGUCAUAGCCAAUACAUAGCCAACACUUAAAUAGCCUGUGCAUACAGUAGCAUUUCAUCUUUUAUAAAAUGCGAUUUUGGCCAAAUGCAUUUUACCACAGGAAAAACUGAGCUAUAUAGCUCUAUAUAGCUACAAAAACUAGUUUGUAACCUGUAGAUGAAAAAUGUAAUGUGAGGCGCCGUGGCCGUUUUAAUAAUGAAAAAAAAAAAAAAUUCACAUUUGCACACAUUCGCUGGUCAAAAACUAUAUAUUGAUAAGUAAUACAACAACAUAUAAUUUGUUUUUACCAUUGGAAAAUCAUAACAGGUGCGCCCCCGCGCUGUUUCGUACUGGAACUUAUAUUACACAAUAUUACUGUUUUUGCUGUAUUUUGGAUCAAAUAAAUGAAGCCUUGGAAUGAAUCAUGAAUUACAUUCUGCAUGAUAAAAUAUAAAGAUUUCACAGUGAUCUUCUGUAAAAAUUUUUUAGUUACUACUACAUUACUGUAGUAAAAACCAUGUUUUACUACAUUUUAUACAUGUGAGGACGAGCGGAGAGUAUACCAUAACAUGAUUAGCCUAAAUGUUAAUAAAUUAAGUGUAUCAGCAAUCAUAAAUCAAAAAAGAAAUUUCUUAUAUGUUAUCUAGGUGACGAGGAUCACUCGUCGCUUUGUGUAAGUUCCAGUACGAAACAGCGCGGGGGCGCACCUGUUAUGAUUUUCCAAUGGUAAAAACAAAUUAUAUGUUGUUGUAUUACUUAUCAAUAUAUAGUUUUUGACCAGCGAAUGUGUGCAAAUGUGAAUUUUUUUUUUUUUUCAUUAUUAAAACGGCCACGGCGCCUCACAUUACAUUUUCAUCUACAGGUUACAAACUAGUUUUUGUAGCUAUAUAGAGCUAUAUAGCUCAGUUUUUCCUGUGGUAAAAUGCAUUUGGCCAAAAUCGCAUUUUAUAAAAGAUGAAAUGCUACUGUAUGCACAGGCUAUUUAAGUGUUGGCUAUGUAUUGGCUAUGACUAGAUGGCAAAUGCUAGCCCUCUCUCUCAGGCGACGUCCCACAUGUCUCAGUCAGUGAGUCAGUCAGACAUCAAAUAAAUAAAAUAUAAGCCUUUAUAGACAUAGUGUUAAGUAGUACUUAUUCAAACAACAAGAUAUUUAUUUACCCUUCGCAAAACUUUGUUCAGCUCAGCUGUUGUCUACUGUGCGGCUGCUGUGGAACUUCAGUUGAUUCAAUGAAUAUAGAGGGGGCGGAGUUAUCAGCUUACUGACAGCUUGAGGAUCGAAUAAGAUUUACACAAGCUCGUUUUAAGAACUUUCAUUUGCUAAAUAUUUGUAAAACAGACAGACAGACGUAAAGGGUGACCAAUAGCAUUGAUUAAAAAAAAAAAAACACCACCAAAAAAAGGGCACUUCGGAGUGUAAGGGCCAAAAGGGCAUGUGCUCUGCACAGGUUGAGCCCUACCUGUGCACGUGCCUGCCUAAACCUAACAACUACCUUGCUAACUAUAAAUAAGCAGUAAUUAGGAGUUCACAGAGGCAAAGCAGUAAUUAAUAGUGGGUUAAUAGUGAGAAAUCGACUCUCUUCUAAUUGAUUCACCUUACAAAAUACCAGCAUCUGCAUAAAGAAAGAAAGAAAGAAAGAAAGAAAGAAAGAAAGCUGAUUUUGCAGUCAAAGCUAUUUCAUAUGUCAGGCUUUACAAUGUUAAAACUAUGUCUUAAAAUCUAGUCUGGCCAACU
ensembl:lncRNA